rnacentral:rRNA from 1 species
UAACACAUGCAAGUCGAGGGAUGAUUAUCUACCUUGCUAGAUAUGAUUAUGGCGGACGGGUGAGUAAUAUUUAUGAAUCUGCCUACUAGUGGGGGAUACUCGGGGAAAGUCGAAUUACUACCUGCAUACUCACCCUACGCGCCUGAAAGGGGUGCGACAAGACUGCUUGGCGUACUUAGGAUCGACGCCGUAGAAUCAGGAUUUACGCUAGCGUUGGGUGCGGUGUAUAUAGGUCCCGACCGAAGGCUGAUUGUAUCCUUGAUAAUCUCGGUAUUUGCAGUACCGCACUCCACCACCUCCACCUACCUGUGAAUCGUGGAUGAGGAAUGUGUGCAUGGGAUCUCCAUAUCGGCGGACGUGCGAAGCGGAGUCGGGGCGUACCAUAGUAUGCACCUCAGU